rnacentral:rRNA from 1 species
AUUGAACGCUGGCGGCAUGCCUUACACAUGCAAGUCGAACGGCAGCACGGGUGCUUGCACCUGGUGGCGAGUGGCGAACGGGUGAGUAAUAUAUCGGAACGUACCUUAUUGUGGGGGAUAACGCAGCGAAAGCUGUGCUAAUACCGCAUAAUCCCUAAGGGGGAAGCGGGGGACCGUAAGGCCUCGCGCAAUUAGAGCGGCCGAUACCUGAUUAGCUAGUUGGUGAGGUAAAGGCUCACCAAGGCAACGAUCAGUAGCUGGUCUGAGAGGACGAUCAGCCACACUGGGACUGAGACACGGCCCAGACUCCUACGGGAGGCAGCAGUGGGGAAUUUUUGGACAAUGGGGGCAACCCUGAUCCAGCAAUGCCGCGUGAGUGAAGAAGGCCUUCGGGUUGUAAAGCUCUUUUGUCAGGGAAGAAACAGCAGCUCUAACACAGUUUGCGAAUGACGGUACCUGAAGAAUAAGCACCGGCUAACUACGUGCCAGCAGCCGCGGUAA